AAGGAAGCGCGCGCACACACACACACACACACACACACCGCCCCCACUCCCUCCAACCUCAGCACCGCCAAGAACCAGCCCAGCUCUGCGCCAGGCACCAGCAGCAAACAGAGCAGGCAUCCGGCUGAGGCUGGACGCCGCAGCGGCGUGGCCCGUGGGAGGGUGGGGGAGACCAUCCCCUGUCAAUGCCGCCAGCCGCGGCUCGCCGUGUGGCCAAGGCGAGGCAGCCAGGAGGAGGAGGAGGAGGCGAGCUCUACGGCUUUGGUGGGAAGCCCGGGGAGCCCCGUCUCUGCCCCGGCGCGGGGCAGCGGCUCGGUAACAAGCCUUUGACAUCCAGCCAAAGAUAGAUGGGCCCCACUCCACUCCAGGAAGGAGCGGCUGGAUCUUGAGCUAAAGUCACAAUAUUCGUGUUAGACUCUCCCACAGAGGGGUUGAAAACGACCGGAGUCCCCAAAUGGGCGAGGUUAACCCUGCGCUGUCCCCUUUCUUUGACAGUGGAGACCAACCCUUUGUUGGCAGGGAACAGUCAGGCUCUGAAAAGAAAUGGGGGUGAAUAGGGAGGGGACCAGCUGGCUUCCUGAAGCCUUCAAACUUCCAGGGCAUGGGUGUCAGCAAUCUAGAUCUGCAUGGUAGAUUUCAAUCAUUAGGAGCCUGACUCUGUCAGGGCCUGGAUCAGAACCCCCACUCCCUCCAUCAGGGCUACAGGAACAAUUUGUAUAGUGGGGGUACUGAGAGCUAUUGAACCAAACUGUAAACUCUAAACCCUGAUGAUGGAAACCACUUCAAUCCAGGGGAUCUGGCAGCACCCCUAGUUCCUGCAUCCUUCUUUCCUGCACCUAUGCCCUCCAUUGUCAGGAGAGAGGUUCCCAAUUCAAACCUGAGCCAAGCUGGAAAUUGUUCAUUUUGCCCCAUCUCUGUUGUUGAACGAUCCCCUCUGCGGCUGCCCUGCUGAAGCUGCCCUGGCUACUGCGCCCUGGGAUUAAACCUGGGUAAGUGGUAACAUGAAAUCCCUGUUGUAGAAAACCAGUGUGGCGGCCCAACUUUCUCCUCCUACAAACUGUGGUUCUGGCUAGUAACAGAACCUGAAUUUUGUUUUUUUAAAUUAAUUUCAGAAACAUUUGUAAAUACCCCAAUCUUUGUCCAGCGCUGAACAAGAAGAAAGGAAAACCAAUAGUGUGGCACCUCUUUAAGUGCAUUUUGUUUGUUUGGGGGGGGGAGUCCCUAACAUGAGACUUAGUUUUAAGAAACUAGUUUAAAGUAGUGCAGCAAGUUUUCAAGGAGUUAGGCCGUUGACUUCCUUCCUUUUCCCUAAUCUCAACUCCCCUGCAGUUUGUGGUGUGUUGAACAGGAGAAGAGGAGGUUGCUGUGAGGGAAGACAUGGAGGGAAUGAUAAUGAGCCAGAUUUGAAUUUAACAUGAGUGUAGUGAUGACACCAGAAGCAGGAAGUAUUUCACGGGAAAGCGAAUCCCGCUGCAUUCUGAAGAGGCUUUGGGAUUCCUGUUGACAUUACUUCAGCAAACUGAAUGGAAACAAAACUCAGAUUAGGUUUUACAUCUGUGCUGUACAAUUGCUUUACAAUGACUUUGAUCAUGAAUAAGAAACCUUUGAUGAUUCAGGUAUGUCUUUGCUUAGGCAAGCUGUUGAGAAGAAUUCCAAACCCAGUGUCCACACAUCACUAAAGGACUAUUGAUGCCAUGCAAGAGUUUUAAAUGAACUUGUGUGCUGUUACCUUUUACUCCCUAGCACUCAUGAAAGAUGCCAUCUUGACACCCCUGGAGAUUAAAGCCUUUAUUUCUCCCACAGAACAGUUACAGCAUGGAUAGCAACCCAGCAAGCUUCACCCCCACACCUGUGAACUAGAAGUACCACCUUUAGUUAUCUCAGUCUCCAUAGCCCCUUUACUACUUCACCUUUCUGCUAUGACUGCCAGCAGUUGCUGUGGUGGAUUCUGUGCUGUGGACAUCUGUCUUCUGGGAACUGGACUGAGAUCACCAAACUCAUUUUACAGAGGCUACUGGAAAGCCAACAGCUUUCAAUUGCUGCCAGCCAGGGCUGGAUUUAAAUCUGUAGCCUGGGGUAAACAUUUCAUGUACUCCAUUACCAAACUCCUGAGACAUCUGGACCCUGAUUGUCAGUGUUAUCUUAUGAAGAGGGAUUUUCAUAUGUUCAUAGUCAUGUUUUAGUAAAACUGACCUCAGGGAAGUGCCUAUAUAUUUGUUUGACUUACAGUAUCUUAAAAAUUCUAAUUUUAUAUUACCACAUUCCUGUCUCCUGCCUUUCACUGUUGUAAAUGCACUUCCCAAACAGCAUCUGCAAACUCUAUAUAAACAUUUGUCUUGCUAUCAGCCAUAUGGUUUAAGAGGCUUGUGGCAAAUCAAUAAGGUUUGUUUAAAAAGACAAUCAGAUACUGAA